UGACUGCGUACCUUUUGUAUAAUGGGUCAGCGACUUAUAUUCUGUAGCAAGGUUAACCGUAUAGGGGAGCCGGAGGGAAACCGAGUCUUAAUUGGGCGUUAAGUUGCAGGGUAUAGACCCGAAACCCGGUGAUCUAGCCAUGGGCAGGUUGAAGGUUGGGUAACACUAACUGGAGGACCGAACCGACUAAUGUUGAAAAAUUAGCGGAUGACCUGUGGCUGGGGGUGAAAGGCCAAUCAAACCGGGAGAUAGCUGGUUCUCCCCGAAAGCUAUUUAGGUAGCGCCUCGUGAAUUCAUCUCCGGGGGUAGAGCACUGUUUCGGCUAGGGGGCCAUCCCGGCUUACCAACCCGAUGCAAACUGCGAAUACCGGAGAAUGUUAUCACGGGAGACACACGGCGGGUGCUAACGUCCGUCGUGAAGAGGGAAACAACCCAGACCGCCAGCUAAGGUCCCAAAGUCAUGGUUAAGUGGGAAACGAUGUGGGAAGGCCCAGACAGCCAGGAUGUUGGCUUAGAAGCAGCCAUCAUUUAAAGAAAGCGUAAUAGCUCACUGGUCGAGUCGGCCUGCGCGGAAGAUGUAACGGGGCUAAACCAUGCACCGAAGCUGCGGCAG
rnacentral:rRNA from 1 species